CUACGGGGGGCAGCAGUCAAGAAUAUUCCACAAUGGGCGAAAGCCUGAUGGAGCGACACCGCGUGCAGGAUGAAGGCCUUAGGGUUGUAAACUGCUUUUAUAAGGGACGAAGUUUCGGCUGACGGUACCUUAUGAAUAAGAGGUUGCUAACUCUGUGCCAGCAGCAGCGGUAAUACAGAGACCUCAAGCGUUAUCCGGAUUUACUGGGCGUAAAGGGUUCGUAGGCGGUUUUGUAAGUCUCACGUCAAAUAUACAGGCUCAACCUGUAUGCUGCGUGGGAUACUGCAAGACUCGAGGAUGGGAGAGGUGAGCGGAACUGCCGGUGUAGUAGUAAAAUGCGUUAAUAUCGGCAUGAACACCAAAGGCGAAGGCAGCUCACUGGAACAUUCCUGACGCUGAUGAACGAAAGCGUGGGGAGCGAAGCGGAUUAGAUACCCUAGUAGUC
rnacentral:rRNA from 1 species